rfam:Oryza sativa (indica cultivar-group) chromosome 6, whole genome shotgun sequence.
CCUCCGUCCCACAAAGAAUCUAUUUUUCAAUUUUUGAUACGACUAUUCGUCUUAUUUAAAAACUUUUUAUGAUUAAUAUUUUUAUUAUUGUUAGAUGAUAAAGCAUGAAUAGUAAUUUAUGCAUGACUAUUUUGUAAAACAAUUUUUGUAAUUUUUUUAAAUAAGACGAACGGUCAAACGUUUGAGACAGAAACC